ACCAAGUCCAAAAUUCUCUCUAUUAUUCAUUGUAUUUUAUAUUGCCAUUUGUCUAGUGUUUGAUCAUUUAUUAAAGGUUUGUUUUUUAUCAUAUUUUUGUGAUAAAAAUAACAAUGCAUUAUGUACAAUCAAUGGCCAGUAUAUAUCUUGUAUGUCAGGUAUAUUCAGUAAAAGGUGGAGGUAAGAAAAGAUACAUUAUUAAGAUCCUAAAAUUAGUCAAAUUCUUUUAACCCUUUUACUCAAUUGUAAUAGUUAUUGUUUGGGACAUAAUGUCUUUUGGGGUAAAAAUCAAGCUACAUGUAAUACACAUAUUUAUGUCAUAUCAAAAUGUUGUAAUUCGGGCUGGAAUAUAAUUAUUAUUGGUAUUUGAAUCCAUAGCUCAAAAAGUGGCCUAUCAACUGAAUGUUUUUGUUAACUUAUAAUCAUUUUAAGCCAAAUGAACUUAAAAAGU
rnacentral:lncRNA from 1 species